GUGAACGAGCGACGCCGCGUGGAGGAUGAAGGCCUUCGGGUUGUAAACUCCUGUCGAGGGGGAACAAGGACCGGUGCAGAAUCGGUCUUGAGUGAUCCCUGGAGGAAGCACGGGCUAAGUUCGUGCCAGCAGCCGCGGUAAGACGAACCGUGCAAACGUUAUUCGGAAUCACUGGGCUUAAAGCGCGUGUAGGCGGUCCGGCACGUCUGGUGCUGAAAGCCCCCGGCUCAACCGGGGAAUGGGCACGGAUACGACCGGACUGGAGGGGGGUAGGGGGAGCCGGAACUUCCGGUGGAGCGGUGAAAUGCGUUGAGAUCGGAAGGAACGCCCGUGGCGAAAGCGGGCUCCUGGACCCCACCUGACGCUGAGACGCGAAAGCCAGGGGAGCAAACGGGAUUAGAUACCCCGGUAGUCCUGGCCGUAAACGAU
rnacentral:rRNA from 1 species